CGCUCAUGAUGAACGCUGGGCGGCGUGCUUAACACAUGCAAGUCGAACGAUGAAGACCGUGCUUGCACGGUUGGAUUAGUGGCGAACGGGUGAGUAUCACGUGAGUAACCUUCCCUUAACUCUGGGAUAAGCCCGGGAAACUGGGUCUAAUACCGGAUACGACCAGUCCUCGCAUGGGGUGCUGGUGGAAAGAUUUAUCGGUUUUGGAUGGACUCGCGGCCUAUCAGCUUGUUGGUGAGGUAAUGGCUCACCAAGGCGAUGACGGGUAGCCGGCCUGAGAGGGUGACCGGCCACACUGGGACUGAGACACGGCCCAGACUCCUACGGGAGGCAGCAGUGGGGAAUAUUGCACAAUGGGCGAAAGCCUGAUGCAGCGACGCCGCGUGCGGGAUGACGGCCUUCGGGUUGUAAACCGCUUUCAGCAGGGAAGAAGCGAAAGUGACG
rnacentral:rRNA from 1 species